rfam:Capsicum annuum cultivar Zunla-1 chromosome 1, whole genome shotgun sequence
ACCUCAUUGUUGGGGCAUUGCAAAAGCUUUCCAUUAAAUCUCUCCCAUACCUCAUAUGGAGGCUCUCCAUUUAAUUAAUAAAAGUUUGGGAUUUCAUCAUGCAAUU